ACUCCUACGGGAGGCAGCAGUGGGAAUAUUGGACAAUGGGCGGGAGCCUGAUCCAGCCAUGCCGCGUGCAGGAAGACUGCCCUAUGGGUUGUAAACUGCUUUUGUACAGGAAGAAACACCUCCCUCGUGAGGAGUCUGACGGUACUGUAAGAAUAAGGAUCGGCUAACUCCGUGCCAGCAGCCGCGGUAAUACGGAGGAUCCAAGCGUUAUCCGGAAUCAUUGGGUUUAAAGGGUCCGUAGGUGGAUGAUUAAGUCAGAGGUGAAAUCCUGCAGCUCAACUGUAGAAUUGCCUUUGAUACUGGUUGUCUUGAAUUAUUGUGAAGUAGUUAGAAUAUGUGGUGUAGCGGUGAAAUGCAUAGAUAUCACAUAGAAUACCGAUUGCGAAGGCAGAUUACUAACAAUACAUUGACACUGAUGGACGAAAGCGUGGGGAGCGAACAGGAUUAGAUACCCUGUAGGUGA
rnacentral:rRNA from 1 species